AUGAGGCCUAAUGGUAACAGAGGCCCCUGCCUGACAGCGGCAGGCAGGAAACUCCUUCUUCCCAAGACCCCCGAGCCGUCGGGGGUCCCCGCGUCCUCACCAUCACUUUCUCUCAGGUCACAGGAGGGGAAACUCAGGUCCAGGGAGGCGGAGCGACUCUGCAUCGGGGUGGAGCAGGUGCAUGUGAGUGUUGGCGGGGAAGGGAACGACAAGGUUUAUGGGACGCCUUGGGUCCCGGACUUGGGGAGGAAGGCCUCCUUAUUGGAUCUCGCCGUGUGGCCCCAGCGAAGAGGGGACGAGGCACUGGCCAAAGCCACUGUGGGCCAGCCUCGGUUUCCCCAUCCGCUCAGGAAGCAGGGAGGCGGUGGAGUCCCGCCCCAACGGACCCUCACGGCCCCGCGCGAGCCGACACCGCCCCCUGGCGGCCUCGCGCGUCAUCGCAGCCCGCAGUCCAUCACAGGAUGCAGCGAGGGAGCCAGGCCGAGACGCCCCAGGUCGCCAGGAGACAGCCUUGCCCCGGCGCCCCUGCAGCGGCCUGCGGGUCACAGUGGCCGCCCCCCACCCGACCUGCCAGCCCUUUGCACAGCCGUACCCCUCCCCGAGGGAACAGAACUUCCCGCUAUCUCUUCCCUCUGCCUGGAAUGCAGUCCACCCAGCUGAGCCUGCUCCUGCAAGCGGCCUCACGGGGAGGGUUCGGCGACAUACCCAGGCCCAUUUUACAGAAUGCUGACACUGAGACCAGAGCGUUCAGAGGAACCCGCCUCAAGGUGCUCAGCUGGAGAUGGCCUGGUGGGUACCUACCUGUCCACUGAGACCCACCCCACAGUGUCAUUGAGUCCCAAGCCUGUCCUCUGUUCCCACUCCAGGGAGCCUCGGGGAGCCCACUGAGGCCCAUUGCCACCUGGAUUGGGAGGAUCAGGGGUCCUCAGGAAGCAGCCCCUCACUCUGCCCUCCCCCACCUUGUCCAGUAGGGAACUGUGGCCCUGGAGAGGCUGGGAGGGCUAAGCUUUCCUGUUGAGCACUGUGGAGGGAGCACAGACUUGGACCAGUGAGGAAACAGGUCAGUAAGGCCUGGGAGGGACUUCUUGCCACAAGGAGGAGAAGGAUUGGACAAACUGCCCAUCUCCAAGGGUAGUGAACAGGAAAGGGGGAUGGAGGGUUGGAUGGGUGGAUGGGCUGCAGUUAUAAUGCCCAUAAACCUUGAGACACAAAUGAGACUGCCACAGGUGUGUGUUAUCUGCUGCUAUGUAACCAACAAUCCCCAAACCAUGGCUGGAAACAGCGAUUUCUUAUUUCUCACCAUUCUCUAGAUUGACUGGACAGUGCUGCUUCAUCUUUCGUCUGCUGAGAUCACUUAUACAGCUGCAACUGGCUGGGGCUCAGUGGGGGUGAAAGAGUCAAGGCUUCACCCACGUGACUGCAGUUGAUGUGAACUAUCAGCCUGGCAACUCAGCUGGCUGCCAGCACAGGCUGUCAUCUCAGGUACAGUGGCCCUCCAGAUCCACAGGUUCUACAUCCCUGGAUUUAAUCGACCAAGGAUGGAAAAUAUGUGGGGGACAAAAUUCCAGAAAGUUCCAAAAUGCAAGAUCUGAUUUUGCCUGGUGCCAGCAACUCUUUACAUAGCAUUUGCAUUGUAUUAGGUAUUGUAAGUAAUCUGGAGAUGAUUUAACGUUAUAUGCAAAUGCACAUCCUACCUCGCUGUACAUAAGGGACUUGAGCAUUCUUGGCUGUUGGCAUUUGUGGGGGUUCUGGACAGUUCCCUGUGAGGACCGCGGGACAACUGCACUUUGGCCCUACCUCGCCUCCACACAGGGCUAACGUGGGCUGCUUCACCCAGCGUGGCACCUGGGUUCCCCUGAGAACUAGCUCAGUAUGCAAGCGCCCAUCUAACCUCUCCUUCCAUCAUGUCUGCUACUAUUUCGUUGGCCAGAACGAGUGACAUGAGGAUGCCCAGAGGCAGCGUGAAAUGAGACCUCCCCAGGGCAGGGAUACCAGGGAGCACAUUGUGUGCCACCACAGAGGGACAGGAAUGAAGAUUGCCCGGGGGGGGGGGAGCUUUGGGAGCUGGAAUAUCCAAGGAAUGCUGCUAAAGGAGGAAGGCCUUGGCUAAGGAGGGCUCCACCCUGGGUCCUCCCCCAUCCCGGGGCCCAUGGAGGUGGGAGGGUAACCAUCUAUGAAGUAAAGAUAUAAACUGGUUACGUGUCUGGAGACAGGUGCUCUGUGGACAGUGAAAACUGGGUGGCGUGAGAGUGUGAUGGGACGUGGCGGGUGAGACAGCUGCUUCCGAUGAGGCGGACAGGGAAGCCUUCUCAGAGGAGGCGGCCUUUAGGCGGAGUUUAGACUGACAAAAGGAGCCGGGCUUGGGGAGUGCAGGAAGCAGUGAAUGGCAGGUACAGGAACAGCUAAAGCAAAGGCUCUGAGAUGGGAAUGAGCUGUACGCCUAUGAGGAUUAGAG
rnacentral:lncRNA from 9 species